rnacentral:rRNA from 1 species
AGGACGAACGCUGGCGGCGUGCUUAACACAUGCAAGUCAAGGGGGCCCAGCAAUGGGCAACCGGCGAACGGGUGCGUAACACGUGAGCAACCUACCGAAAUGUGGGGGAUAGCCGGCCUAACGGCCGAGUAAUACCGCAUACGCUCUCGAUGAGGCAUUUCAUUGAGAGGAAACCUACGGGACAUUUCGAGGGGCUCGCGGCCUAUCAGCUAGUUGGCGAGGUAACGGCUCACCAAGGCAACGACGGGUAGC